rnacentral:tRNA from 1 species
GGAGUUGUAACUCAGUGGCAGAGCACUUGCCUAGCAAGUGCAAGGCCCUGGGUUUGAGUCCCAGCAACACAC